rnacentral:rRNA from 1 species
GGGUUGUGAGGUUAAGCGACUAAGCGUACACGGUGGAUGCCCUGGCAGUCAGAGGCGAUGAAGGGCGUGCUAAUCUGCGAUAAGCGCCGGUAAGGUGAUAUGAACCGUUAUAACCGGCGAUACCCGAAUGGGGAAACCCAGUGUGAUUCGUCACACUAUCAUUAACUGAAUCCAUAGGUUAAUGAGGCGAACCGGGGGAACUGAAACAUCUAAGUACCCCGAGGAAAAGAAAUCAACCGAGAUUCCCCCAGUAGCGGCGAGCGAACGGGGAGGAGCCCAGAGCCUGAAUCAGCAUGUGUGUUAGUGGAAGCGUCUGGAAAGGUGCGCGAUACAGGGUGACAGCCCCGUACACAAAAGCGCAUGUGCUGUGAGCUCGAUGAGUAGGGCGGGACACGUGGUAUCCUGUCUGAAUAUGGGGGGACCAUCCUCCAAGGCUAAAUACUCCUGACUGACCGAUAGUGAACCAGUACCGUGAGGGAAAGGCGAAAAGAACCCCGGCGAGGGGAGUGAAAAAGAACCUGAAACCGUGUACGUACAAGCAGUGGGAGCACAGGUUUACCUGUGUGACUGCGUACCUUUUGUAUAAUGGGUCAGCGACUUAUAUUCUGUAGCAAGGUUAACCGUAUAGGGGAGCCGGAGGGAAACCGAGUCUUAACCGGGCGUUAAGUUGCAGGGUAUAGACCCGAAACCCGGUGAUCUAGCCAUGGGCAGGUUGAAGGUUGGGUAACACUAACUGGAGGACCGAACCGACUAAUGUUGAAAAAUUAGCGGAUGAUCUGUGGCUGGGGGUGAAAGGCCAAUCAAACCGGGAGAUAGCUGGUUCUCCCCGAAAGCUAUUUAGGUAGCGCCUCGUGAAUUCAUCUCCGGGGGUAGAGCACUGUUUCGGCUAGGGGGCCAUCCCGGCUUACCAACCCGAUGCAAACUGCGAAUAC